rnacentral:lncRNA from 1 species
AGAAAUAUUAUUACCAAAAAAAGACUCCUUUGAUAGGCGUGAAUUUAUAAUUUAUUUUUUUUACAAUUAGUUAGUAAGUAUCUAUAUAUGAAACAAAAGAAAUUCAGACAAACAACCUGGCGGUCACAGUGUGCUUUGAUAAAAUCAGUCGAAUUAUGAAGUUUUGUAUUGCUAUGGCAUAAGUUUUGUAUUGCUAUGGCAUCUGUGUAUCGUACAUCGAAGUUUCAGUAAUAUUUAUUCAGCAAUAAGAAAACUGACAGCAAAUGCAAGCAUUGGGAGAAACUUUUUUUGGAAAGUGCUGUUUAUGAAAAAAGUAUGAGUGUUUGUGAAACUACUGGCAACCUGCUUGUAUGGAAAGAUAUAAAAGUAUCAUUAACCAAAGUUUCAGGUAAACAUCCUAUAAGGUUAUUUUUUAUUGAUAGAUUUAAAAAAAUAGAUUAUUUUUGAAUGUAUUAUAGCCUAUGCCGAUGUAAUUUUGAAGUUGUGCAAGGGGGCAAGGAAUUUAGACGUUAAAGUACUUACACACAAACUAAUCUCAAUAUGCUUCAAGAAUUAAUAACAAAAAUAACUUUUAGAAGAUUACCAAUACUUUCUUCCUGCCAUCUUCAAAAUGUUUGAAAAAUUAAUUUACUGUGGAUGAGUGAAAUAAAAACGUUGUUUAAGAAGAAUUUUUACUACAUUUAUAAAGUGUUACUUUAUAAGGCAUAAAAUUGACAGUAAUUUUUGUUUGACAAUUGCUGUUUUCACAAUU